GUCCCAGUAGCUCAGCUGGAUAGAGCGCAAGCUUGCGGAGCUUGAGGUCGCAGGUUCAACUCCUGCCUGGGACGCCA
rnacentral:tRNA from 2 species